GGGUUGUGAGGUUAAGCGACUAAGCGUACACGGUGGAUGCCCUGGCAGUCAGAGGCGAUGAAGGACGUGCUAAUCUGCGAAAAGCGCCGGCGAGGUGAUAUGAACCCUUGACCCGGCGAUGUCCGAAUGGGGAAACCCAGUGUGAUUCGUCACACUAUCGUUAACUGAAUACAUAGGUUAACGAGGCGAACCGGGGGAACUGAAACAUCUAAGUACCCCGAGGAAAAGAAAUCAACCGAGAUUCCCCCAGUAGCGGCGAGCGAACGGGGAGCAGCCCGGAGUCUGAAUCAGCUUGUGUGUUAGUGGAACGGUCUGGAAAGUCCGACGGUACAGGGUGAUAGUCCCGUACACGAAAGCACACUUGCUGUGAACUCGAAGAGUAGGGCGGGACACGUGGUAUCCUGUCUGAAUAUGGGGGGACCAUCCUCCAAGGCUAAAUACUCCUGACUGACCGAUAGUGAACCAGUACCGUGAGGGAAAGGCGAAAAGAACCCCGGCGAGGGGAGUGAAAAAGAACCUGAAACCGUGUACGUACAAGCAGUGGGAGCACCUUCGUGGUGUGACUGCGUACCUUUUGUAUAAUGGGUCAGCGACUUAUAUUCUGUAGCAAGGUUAACCGUAUAGGGGAGCCGAAGGGAAACCGAGUCUUAACUGGGCGUUAAGUUGCAGGGUAUAGACCCGAAACCCGGUGAUCUAGCCAUGGGCAGGUUGAAGGUUGGGUAACACUAACUGGAGGACCGAACCGACUAAUGUUGAAAAAUUAGCGGAUGACCUGUGGCUGGGGGUGAAAGGCCAAUCAAACCGGGAGAUAGCUGGUUCUCCCCGAAAGCUAUUUAGGUAGCGCCUCGUGAACUCAUCUUCGGGGGUAGAGCACUGUUUCGGCUAGGGGGCCAUCCCGGCUUACCAACCCGAUGCAAACUACGAAUACCGAAGAAUGUUAUCACGGGAGACACACGGCGGGUGCUAACGUCCGUCGUGAAGAGGGAAACAACCCAGACCGCCAGCUAAGGUCCCAAAGUCAUGGUUAAGUGGGAAACGAUGUGGGAAGGCACAGACAGCCAGGAUGUUGGCUUAGAAGCAGCCAUCAUUUAAAGAAAGCGUAAUAGCUCACUGGUCGAGUCGGCCUGCGCGGAAGAUGUAACGGGGCUAAACCAUGCACCGAAGCUGCGGCAGCGACACUAUGUGUUGUUGGGUAGGGGAGCGUUCUGUAAGCCGUUGAAGGUGUGCUGUGAGGCAUGCUGGAGGUAUCAGAAGUGCGAAUGCUGACAUAAGUAACGAUAAAGCGGGUGAAAAGCCCGCUCGCCGGAAGACCAAGGGUUCCUGUCCAACGUUAAUCGGGGCAGGGUGAGUCGACCCCUAAGGCGAGGCCGAAAGGCGUAGUCGAUGGGAAACAGGUUAAUAUUCCUGUACUUGGUGUUACUGCGAAGGGGGGACGGAGAAGGCUAUGUCAGCCGGGCGACGGUUGUCCCGGUUUAAGCAUGUAGGCGGAGGUUCCAGGUAAAUCCGGUACCUUAUUAACGCUGAGGUGUGAUGACGAGGCACUACGGUGCUGAAGUGAUAAAUGCCCUGCUUCCAGGAAAAGCCUCUAAGCAUCAGGUAACACGAAAUCGUACCCCAAACCGACACAGGUGGUCAGGUAGAGAAUACCAAGGCGCUUGAGAGAACUCGGGUGAAGGAACUAGGCAAAAUGGUGCCGUAACUUCGGGAGAAGGCACGCUGAUGUGUAGGUGAAGUCCCUGCGGACGGAGCUGAAAUCAGUCGAAGAUACCAGCUGGCUGCAACUGUUUAUUAAAAACACAGCACUGUGCAAACACGAAAGUGGACGUAUACGGUGUGACGCCUGCCCGGUGCCGGAAGGUUAAUUGAUGGGGUUAGCUGUAAGGCGAAGCUCUUGAUCGAAGCCCCGGUAAACGGCGGCCGUAACUAUAACGGUCCUAAGGUAGCGAAAUUCCUUGUCGGGUAAGUUCCGACCUGCACGAAUGGCGUAAUGAUGGCCAGGCUGUCUCCACCCGAGACUCAGUGAAAUUGAACUCGCUGUGAAGAUGCAGUGUACCCGCGGCAAGACGGAAAGACCCCGUGAACCUUUACUAUAGCUUGACACUGAACACUGGUCCUUGAUGUGUAGGAUAGGUGGGAGGCUUUGAAGCGUGGACGCCAGUCUGCGUGGAGCCGCCCUUGAAAUACCACCCUUUAAUGGCUGGUGUUCUAACGUAGACCCGUAAUCCGGGUUGCGGACAGUGUCUGGUGGGUAGUUUGACUGGGGCGGUCUCCUCCCAAAGAGUAACGGAGGAGCACGAAGGUUGGCUAAUCCUGGUCGGACAUCAGGAGGUUAGUGCAAUGGCAUAAGCCAGCUUGACUGCGAGCGUGACGGCGCGAGCAGGUGCGAAAGCAGGUCAUAGUGAUCCGGUGGUUCUGAAUGGAAGGGCCAUCGCUCAACGGAUAAAAGGUACUCCGGGGAUAACAGGCUGAUACCGCCCAAGAGUUCAUAUCGACGGCGGUGUUUGGCACCUCGAUGUCGGCUCAUCACAUCCUGGGGCUGAAGUAGGUCCCAAGGGUAUGGCUGUUCGCCAUUUAAAGUGGUACGCGAGCUGGGUUUAGAACGUCGUGAGACAGUUCGGUCCCUAUCUGCCGUGGGCGCUGGAGAAUUGAGGGGGGCUGCUCCUAGUACGAGAGGACCGGAGUGGACGCAUCACUGGUGUUCGGGUUGUCAUGCCAAUGGCACUGCCCGGUAGCUAAAUGCGGAAGAGAUAAGUGCUGAAAGCAUCUAAGCACGAAACUUGCCCCGAGAUGAGUUCUCCCUGAGACUUUAAGUCUCCUGAAGGAACGUUGAAGACGACGACGUUGAUAGGUCGGGUGUGUAAGCGCAGCGAUGCGUUGAGCUAACCGAUACUAAUGAACCGUGAGGCUUAACCUUACAACGCCGAAGGUGUUU
rnacentral:rRNA from 4 species